CGGCGGCGGCGCGGCGCAGGCACCGGCCCGGGGAGCGGCAUCAUGAGUGGAUCACAGAACAAUGACAAAAGACAAUUUCUGCUGGAGCGACUGCUGGAUGCAGUGAAACAGUGCCAGAUCCGCUUUGGAGGGAGAAAGGAGAUCGCCUCGGAUUCAGACAGCAGCUCCAUGAUCCUUUGUGUUAACGUCAUUGGUUAAGCAGCCCGUUCUACCCAUCUGACUGAAGUGCUACCGUUAUUAUAGAUUAAAUGCUUCCAUAUGUAUUAGGAUUUUUUUUGGGGGGGGACUUUCUUUUUUUUUGAGAUGAAGUCUUGCUCUUGUCAUCUGGGCGGGAGUGCAAUGGCACGAUCUUGGCUCACUGCAACCCCCGCGUACCGGGUGCUAGUGAAUCUCCUGCCUCAGCCUUCCAAGUAGCUGGGAUUACAGGCACCUGCCACCACGCCUGGCCUGUACCCCAGAACAAGGGGUGUCAAGUCCUACCUGCAGUUGUUACUGGAAUUGUAUUAAGUUUAUACAUUACAUUGGGAAGAACUGACAUUUUGAGUUUAAUAAGUCUUCCCAUUCAGGAAAAUGGUGUUUCUAUUUAUCUAUUUGUUUGAUCUUUA
rnacentral:lncRNA from 1 species